rnacentral:rRNA from 1 species
UACAGAGGUCUCAAGCGUUGUUCGGAUUCAUUGGGCGUAAAGGGUGUGUAGGUGGCGCGCUAAGUCGGGUGUGAAAUUUCGGAGCUUAACUCCGAAACUGCAUUCGAUACUGGCGUGCUUGAGGACUGGAGAGGAGACUGGAAUUCAUGGUGUAGCAGUGAAAUGCGUAGAGAUCAUGAGGAAGACCAGUGGCGAAGGCGGGUCUCUGGACAGUUCCUGACGCUGAGGCGCGACAGCGUGGGGAGCAAACAGG